UUUCCCUCCUUUGUCCCCGCACACUCUUCCCUCCUCGAAGGGCGCCCAAUCCCUCUAUCUCUCGUAGUUUAGCCUUUGUGCCCACUUAAUCGUUGGCCUCCAUUUGACUCUGUACUUCUCCUGGCUUUGAGUCUUUGAGCCUCUGUGUCCUCCUACCUCCUCUCCUCAUCUUCUCCUCUGUUCUCCCUUCUCCUCUCCCUCUCAGUCCCCUGGCAUUUCCUUUUAUCCUGUCCUUGCUGUGACUGUUAGUGUGUUUGCACCACACACUACAGGGUGCCAUCUCCAUCAAAUGACUUACCCUAAAUACAUGGUGAUUUAAAGAGGAGGUUGAUCCUAAAGACAAGUCUAGUUUUUCUUUGCUGAUUUAAAUUAAUUGCUAUUAAAUGCUUAAAUGACAUGAGCAGAUUCUAAUGUUUUUUGUUCUGUCUCUCUGUCUUCCCUCUUUCUCCCAGGCCCUGCAGUCACUGUUCCCUCGUUUGCCAGAGUCAGGGAGAGGAACCUCCCUGUUUGAUCGAGUGGCCACAGCCCCGGGACCAGAGGGAGAUAAACUGAGACUGGACACAUUCCCCUUCCUCAGCUCAGCCGCUCCCUGUUACUCCAAGCCCCCGUCCCUGUUGGGUCCUUACCCCCGCAACCCUCCCUUCGACUACCCCUGGGGCUUCAAUCCCUACCUCUCAGGGGCCUUCUCCCUCAACAACUGCCCCAAGCUGCCCCCCGGCUCCCUCUAUCCCUCCCACUUCUACCCCAACCCGCUGCAGACCAGCCUGGGCCAGCUGCCUCACCCCUUCUCCUCCCUACUACCCCCGGGAGAGGUGGCAGGAGGGCGAGAGAGGGGAGCAGCGGGCCAGACCGGGGUUACUAACGGCACGGCAGGUGGGCAGCCCAGACUCUGCUUGCCUCCUUAUCCUGGUGCUCUGUCGCUGGGCCGAACAGACAUUCUCAACGGGGGCUCUGUGGGUGAGAGAAGGGAGACCAAUACCCCAGGCACGGAGCCUGGGUUGGGGUUAGGGUUAGGGCUGGGUCUGGGAGGAAUGGUUCUUGGUGGUGGUGCUGGGGGGCGACAGAGCCCAUCGGAGCGGCGAGGCGGGGUGAAGCAGGACCCAGAGUCAGACUCAGACCUGGAGAUCACAGAUCUGAGCGACUGCAGCUCAGACAACGACAACGAGCCUGACUUCAGCAUCACCAAGGAGACCAGGCUGAGUGGUCGAUCACAGAUCCUGGUGGAGGGGAAGAAAGGGGGAGCACUGCCACCUCUCUCCUCCCUCCCUCCCCCCGUGUCCUCCCAUCCGCUUAAGAGCCUGGUGCCCCUCACCCCUCCCCCUCCGUCCCUCCCUCUAACCCUCUCUCCCUCCAUGGCUCUGGUUGAACGGCACAGGGAGACAGAGACUCUAAAAUUGAUCCACAGCUAAUAGAUUCUAUUAGAUAACUCUCUCUUUCUCUCCUCUCUCUCCUUCUCUCUUUCGCUCCCUUCAUCUGUUAUGUGCUCCUUUAUUUGAGCCAUCUUGCCCCGUCUUUCUUUUUUUUUUCUUCCUCUCUUUCCCCCCUUCUUCUCUCUCUCCACCCUUCUUCUCUCUUUCCCCCCUUCUUCUCUCUCUCCACCCUUCUUCUCUCUCUCCACCCUUCUUCUCUCUCUCCAACCCUUCUUCUCUCUCUCCACCCUUCUUCUCUCUCUCCACCCUUCUUCUCUCUCUCCACCCUUCUUCUCUCUCUCCACCCUUCUUCUCUCUCUCCACCCUUCCGCUCUCUCUUUACAUGUGUACUUGUCCAACAUAGCUGAGAUAGUGAGCUUGCUGGUUUCAACAUUACUGAGAGUCUACCAUGUUUCGGAUGUAUGUGCACUACAUAUUCAUCAUGUGCUCCCACACAUUUUAUUGUCUCAAGGUUUCAGUGAUGUUUUGACCUUUAACAGCAUUGUACGUUGUUCUGUGCUAUUCGUUUGUUACCGUGUUACUGCAAUGGGUCCAUCAAACGGCAUAAAUAUAAGUCAAAUGUAUAAUGAAUUACAUUAAAAUAUAAUACUAGAACAAUAAUAAACAACACUACAAUAUACACACAUAAGAUUAAUUGCAAUAAUGGCCGCAAGAAAUUAUAUCUGACAGAGAUAUUACUUUUGUUUUUUGGGGAUUCCUUUUCUUGGGUACCGGUAUGUAUUUUUCUGUUCAAAACAUAGUCAAACAUUGCCAGCUGGUGGUCUUUAUAGGAGGCUGCUACAGUUCAUUGUUUGUUGGGAAAAAUGAUCAUCCCCCAAAUCCAAACAAUUAGUCAUUUUGCUCUGCUAAUGUAAUGCUCUGGUAUUGUAAUGCACAUUUCUAACUCCAUACUUGUUUGUUUGUUAUUGUUUAAUGCUAAUAUAAAUUACUUAACUUUCUUCAGUGAGAGGGAGAGAAAGAGAGCGCAAAAGAGAGCUGGACAAAUCUAGAAUUUGUAUCAAUAUUUCAUUGUAUAUAUUUUAUUAUGGUGUACAUUACAUUUAAUUAUUAUCAAUAUUAUAAAAGUUUGCUGUGUUGGUGUGAUUUAAUUAUGUAUUUAAAUAAUGUUGAAAUUGACAAGUAUAGGUGUAUUAAAGUUUUAAAUAAUUAACAGCAGUCAGAGCAUCUGCGCUGGAAAGGUGUUUUUUCUAUGAGGAGGACUCAUAUAUGGGGAAUUGUCUCAUAUUUUCUCAACCCCAGCUAAUUGUGCCCUUUGGUCAUUUUCCAAGAAGCCCUUUGGGUUUAAAUAUUCUGGUAGUCUUAUUUUUAUAGUUAGCAUUCACCCAGUGUAACUGUUCUGUCAUUUCGAAAUGGGAAUACUAUUGGUUUCAGCACAUUCUUUCAACUACAAUUACAACAAAAAAAUGUAGAUUAUUUUUGAGUCUAAGCUUUUUAUCCAUGGCAACAUUUAGGCAAUGGGUCCCCUUGUAGAAACUAAAACAAGAGGUACAAAGUAUCUCAAUACCAACUAGGGACAUUCCAUGUUGCUCACUUUGAAGCACAGAGUGCAUCCUAACUACCCCACAUUGUACAGAUUCAUAUGGUAUGGUUUGUAACAGGUGGCGGUGUAACAUUAGGUGUGAAAGCCCUAUUGUAAAGGUCAUGUAAUUGUAUAUUUGUUAGAUUCUACCAGAAAUCUCUGUUUCAUGAUCUCUGUGUGGCAUUUACCAACACCACUGUAAAUACUCUUUCCUUUGUCAAUGUAUGUGUAAACACAUCCAAAAUGAUGCUGUGAAAUAAUGUCACAUUUCUUUGUUUUAUUGUAAAGAGGAAAUAUGGAAAGAUCAAAAAUAAGAAAAAAUAUGAAUAACUUCUAAAGCAAUAAACAUUAUUCUGGAG
ensembl:lncRNA